ACAGAGAAGCCCUCCAGCUACAAAUGGCGCCCAACUGCUCGAGUUUCUGCCUUAAACCUGAGAAUGUUUAAUAACCAAUUCUAAACAGAGCCAAAAACAGGUUCCUGCUUCUUGUCUCAUACGGGCAGCUAGACACCGCAAAACACGGGUUUUAACACUGGCGGGUUCCUGGCGUUUGCUUUUGACCGGCAGUA